AUUGAACGCUGGCGGCAGGCCUAACACAUGCAAGUCGAGCGGAUGAAGGGAGCUUGCUCCUGGAUUCAGCGGCGGACGGGUGAGUAAUGCCUAGGAAUCUGCCUGUUAGUGGGGGAUAACGUCCGGAAACGGGCGCUAAUACCGCAUACGUCCUGAGGGAGAAAGUGGGGGAUCUUCGGACCUCACGCUAUCAGAUGAGCCUAGGUCGGAUUAGCUAGUUGGUGGGGUAAAGGCCUACCAAGGCGACGAUCCGUAACUGGUCUGAGAGGAUGAUCAGUCACACUGGAACUGAGACACGGUCCAGACUCCUACGGGAGGCAGCAGUGGGGAAUAUUGGACAAUGGGCGAAAGCCUGAUCCAGCCAUGCCGCGUGUGUGAAGAAGGUCUUCGGAUCGUAAAGCACUUUAAGUUGGGAGGAAGGGCAGUAAGUUAAUACCUUGCUGUUUUGACGUUACCAACAGAAUAAGCACCGGCUAACUUCGUG
rnacentral:rRNA from 1 species